CCCCUUUUCAUCGCGAUACGAAACACCUAUAUGUCUCUUGCCGGUCUUCGGGUCGGCUAUGGCAAUAAAUGGUCGGUGUAAUAAACCUAUUGGACCCGGGGGCGGUACCCGGCGCCUCCACCAAAAACCGGUCGGUCUCGGAAGGCCGGCUUUUGAUGGGGGCGAAAUAGGAUCGACAAGGGCGUAAAGAUCGUACUUUUGCUCGGCAUGAUACCGCCGUUAUCGGGUCACAAGUGUAGUUGCAAACGACAACAACGCUAAGGGUUAUGCUCUCGCUGCCUAAUGGCGGUGCGGGAAAUCCGAACCAAGUCCUCUAGGUUAGCCCCUUGAGGCGGGGUCCGAAGGCACCUGGCAACAGAAGCCUUCACC
rnacentral:tmRNA from 1 species